GACGAACGCUGGCGGCGUGCUUAACACGUGCAAGUCGAACGGAAAGGCCCUGCUUUUGUGGGGUGCUCGAGUGGCGAACGGGUGAGUAACACGUGAGUAACCUGCCCUUGACUUUGGGAUAACUUCAGGAAACUGGGGCUAAUACCGGAUAGGAGCUCCUGCUGCAUGGUGGGGGUUGGAAAGUUUCGGCGGUUGGGGAUGGACUCGCGGCUUAUCAGCUUGUUGGUGGGGUAGUGGCUUACCAAGGCUUUGACGGGUAGCCGGCCUGAGAGGGUGACCGGCCACAUUGGGACUGAGAUACGGCCCAGACUCCUACGGGAGGCAGCAGUGGGGAAUAUUGCACAAUGGGCGGAAGCCUGAUGCAGCAACGCCGCGUGCGGGAUGACGGCCUUCGGGUUGUAAACCGCUUUCGCCUGUGACGAAGCGUGAGUGACGGUAAUGGGUAAAGAAGCACCGGCUAACUACGUGCCAGCAGCCGCGGUGAUACGUAGGGUGCGAGCGUUGUCCGGAUUUAUUGGGCGUAAAGGGCUCGUAGGUGGUUGAUCGCGUCGGAAGUGUAAUCUUGGGGCUUAACCCUGAGCGUGCUUUCGAUACGGGUUGACUUGAGGAAGGUAGGGGAGAAUGGAAUUCCUGGUGGAGCGGUGGAAUGCGCAGAUAUCAGGAGGAACACCAGUGGCGAAGGCGGUUCUCUGGGCCUUUCCUGACGCUGAGGAGCGAAAGCGUGGGGAGCGAACAGGCUUAGAUACCCUGGUAGUCCACGCUGUAAACGGUGGGUACUAGGUGUGGGGUCCAUUCCACGGGUUCCGUGCCGUAGCUAACGCUUUAAGUACCCCGCCUGGGGAGUACGGCCGCAAGGCUAAAACUCAAAGGAAUUGACGGGGCCCCGCACAAGCGGCGGAGCAUGCGGAUUAAUUCGAUGCAACGCGUAGAACCUUACCUGGGUUUGACAUGGAUCGGGAGCGCUCAGAGAUGGGUGUGCCUCUUUUGGGGUCGGUUCACAGGUGGUGCAUGGCUGUCGUCAGCUCGUGUCGUGAGAUGUUGGGUUAAGUCCCGCAACGAGCGCAACCCUUGUUCACUGUUGCCAGCACGUUAUGGUGGGGACUCAGUGGAGACCGCCGGGGUCAACUCGGAGGAAGGUGGGGAUGACGUCAAGUCAUCAUGCCCCUUAUGUCCAGGGCUUCACGCAUGCUACAAUGGCUGGUACAGAGAGUGGCGAGCCUGUGAGGGUGAGCGAAUCUCGGAAAGCCGGUCUCAGUUCGGAUUGGGGUCUGCAACUCGACCUCAUGAAGUCGGAGUCGCUAGUAAUCGCAGAUCAGCAACGCUGCGGUGAAUACGUUCCCGGG
rnacentral:rRNA from 1 species